UACGGAGGGUGCAAGCGUUAUCCGGAUUCACUGGGUUUAAAGGGUGCGUAGGCGGUUCUAUAAGUCAGUGGUGAAAUACGGCAGCUCAACUGUCGAGGUGCCAUUGAUACUGUAGAACUUGAGUACAGACGAGGUAGGCGGAAUUGACGGUGUAGCGGUGAAAUGCUUAGAUAUCGUCAAGAACACCGAUAGCGAAGGCAGCUUACUAGGCUGUAACUGACGCUGAGGCACGAAAGUGUGGGGAGCAAACAGG
rnacentral:rRNA from 1 species